GCAAACUUGGUCAUUUAGAGGAAGUAAAAGUCGUAACAAGGUUUCCGUAGGUGAACCUGCGGAAGGAUCAUUAUCGAGUUUACCAACACCGGAGGCGCGACUGCUGCUGGCGUUCCCCUUCGGAGGGGGAAGGCAUGUGCGCGUUCGUCUUUGGGCUUUUUCCACUCACACCUGUGCACUUUUGAAAAGGGGGAGAGGGCAUCGUAGCCUUUUUCUCUCCUUUUUUUUAAACACGAACCCUUGACGAAGUUAUUGAAUGUAAUUUGUUUUUAAAACGUGAAUACAACUUUCAACAACGGAUCUCUUGGCUCUCGCAUCGAUGAAGAACGCAGC
rnacentral:misc_RNA from 1 species